rnacentral:rRNA from 1 species
UACGUAGGGGGCAAGCGUUGUCCGGAUUUAUUGGGGCGUAAAGAGCGUGUAGGCGGCCAGGCAGGUCCGCUGUGAAAACUCGAGGCUCAACCUCGAGAGGUCGGUGGAAACCGUUUGGCUAGAGUCCGGAAGAGGAGAGUGGAAUUCCCGGUGUAGCGGUGAAAUGCGCAGAUAUCGGGAAGAACACCCGUGGCGAAGGCGGCUCUCUGGGACGGUACUG